ACCCUCUCAGGAUCCUACUUAGAGAGUUUGCAGUACUUUACCAGUCUCGACUAAGGGAGGGAGAGUCAAGCAGAGGCAUACCCAUUCCAUUCCUAGCUCGGUCAAUGGCUAGUGAGUGGAAGGCAAUCUGCUACAAGU